rnacentral:lncRNA from 1 species
CAGGCAUUCAGAAUUCUAGAAUACAUGUUAUUUCUAUCUGAAACAAUUCUCCCUUAAGCUCUGAUCAUAAGAAACUGGUCAAGGGCUAGGGCUGGGGCUCAGCAGUAGAGCGCUCACCUAGCACAUGCAAGGCCCUGGGUUCAAUCCUCAGCACCACAUAAAAAUAAAUAAAUAAAGGUAUUGUGUCCAACUACAACUAAAAAACAAAUAUUAAAAAAAAAAAAACUGGUCAAAUGCAAAGGUGCCAAAACAUAGGCUGGAAAAAAGGUAGCCUUUUUAACAAGUGGUGCUGGGAAAACUGGUUAUCUGUGUGUAGAAGAAUGAGACAAUAUUCCUGUCCCUCACCAUUGCACAAAAGUCAACUCAAAAUGGAUUAAAGACCUAGGAAUUAGACCAGAAAGUUUGCAACCCAUAGAAGACAACAUAGGGUCAACACUUCAACAUCCAGGCUCAGACAAUGACUUUCUCAAUAGACUCCUAAAGCUCAGGCAAUAAUACCAGAAAUUAAUAAGUGGGAUGACAUCAAAUUAAAAAGCUUCUGCACAGCAAAGGAAACGAGAAUGUGAACAGAGAAUCUACAGAAUGAGAGAAAAAAAAUCUUUGCUAGGUACUGUUCUGAGAGGUUUAAUAUCCACAAUAUAUAAAAAGACUCACUGCCAAAAAGACAUAACUCAAGUAAUAAAUGAGCAAAUGAAUUUAAUAGAUAUAUCUCAAAAGAAGAAAUACAAAUGUCUACAAAUACAUGAAAAAUGCCCAAUAUCUUUAGCAAUUAGGGAAAUGUAAGUCAAAACUGAGAUUUCCUCUCACUCUAAUUAGAAUGACAGCCAUCAACGGUGUAUGCUGGAGAGCAUGUGGGGGGAAAGGAACACUUUUACACUUUUGGUGGAAUUGUAAACUGGUACAAACACUAUGGAAAUCAGUAUGAAGUUUCCUCAAAAGACUAGGAAUGGAACCACCGUGACUCAGCUAUACCACUCCUUGGUAUUUAUCCUAAGAAUUAAAGUCAGCAUACCAUAGCUGUAUAUGUAAACCCAUGUUUAUAGCAGCACAAUUCACAAUAAUCAAACCAUGGAAUGAGCCUAGGUGUCUGUCAAUGAAUGAAUGGACAAAGUGGCAUAAGUAUACAAAGAAGAAUGAAAAUAUGCCAUUUGCAGGUGAAUGAAUGGAACUUGAGAGCAUUAUGUUAAGCGAAAUAAGCCAAACAAAGUCAAGGGUCGUAUGUUUUCUUCUCAUGUGGAAGUCAGAGAGCAUAAAGG